rnacentral:misc_RNA from 1 species
CAAGUGUCGUUGUGCAAUGAUAGUAAUGAGGUGAACAAGGCAGAGGCUGUAACACUAUGCAAUGGAAUCAAGGACAAUGCACCACCCAACUCCACAGGAAGCCUGGAGAAGUUGAGCUUGUGGAGGGAUAAUCGUAUGGCAGAGGAGGGCUUAGAGGAGAGUCCACUCAAGCUGGCGGCUUUAGAAGGAAAAGGGGAAGUUAUCGUUUUUGUUGUUGGUGUUGAAAGGGUUAAAAGGGCUUUUGCAGAAGCUGAAGAAAAUUGAAGGGUUCUUCUUGCACCAUGGGCCGCCAUCUUUGUCUGUUUCUUUCUUUCUGUCAAGAAGCUAAGCAAAACCCCUCCACUCUCUCGUCUACCUGUCUAUGCUUGUUCUACGGGAAGAAAAGGUUGGCGUUACUGGGCUGGAUUAGGGUUGCUUGGACUAUGGGAUGGUUUGUUGCCGUAGAAAAUAAAAGAAUGCUUA